rnacentral:lncRNA from 1 species
GCACGAUACCCAGUGAGAUUUUUGAGUAUGAGAAUCUUACUAUGUUGGAUCUUAGUACAAAUAGCCUAUCUGGGACCAUACCAGAAAAGAUUGGAAUGCUCUCCAAUUUGAAAACUCUCGACCUUUCUUCCAAUCAACUAACCGGAAGACUUCCGGCUACUUUAUCCAACAUCUCAGCCCUCUGUCGAUUCGCAGCUAAAAGAAACAACUUAACUGGAAAUAUUCCAAGUAUUUCCAAAUUUUUGUGUGUUUUGGAUCUCAGCUACAACAACCUUGGUGGGGAGAUCCCAUCUGAUCUCCUCGCAUCUCCUAAUUUGGAGUAUGUUUAUCUCUUUGGUAAUCGUCUCAGAGGGGCUAUUCCCACAAAUCUAUCUAUAGGGCUUUUCAUUCUGCAACUCAGUGGAAACCUUCUAUCUGGAAUAAUCCCGACAUCAAUAGGAAAGCUCUCGAAAUUGGAUUACUUGGAUCUCUCUUCGAAUGCGCUGUACGGCGAGCUACCAAAGGAGAUUGGUAAUCUUCAUGAAUUGGUCUCCUUGGAGCUUCAAAUGAAUAAUCUUAGCGGGGAGAUCCCAUUUGAUUUUCUUGCAUCUCCUAAUUUGGAGUAUGUUGAUCUCUCUAGUAAUCGGCNAAGUCCCUUAAUCUCAGCUACAAUGAUUUGGGUGGCCCGGUUCGUAAUUUCUCGAGCUUUGCCAGUUUGGAGACUCUGGGCUUGUCCUAUAACUCCUUACAAGGAACUGUUGCAACCCAGUUGAGUUCCUUAUCCAAAUUGAAAAGCUUGAAUCUUGGCUCUAAUUUAUUGAUGGGAACCAUCCCCACUUUCGUCACCGACGGUAGAAGAGUUGCGGCCUUUGAAGAGCUUGUGCUUUCAAAUAAUCAAUUCACUGGCAUGAUACCCAGUGAGAUUUUCGAGUAUGAGAAUCUUACUAUGCUGGAUCUCAGUACAAAUAGCCUAUCUGGGACCAUACCAGAAAAGAUUGGAAUGCUCUCCAAUUUGAAUGCUCUCGACCUUUCUUCGAAUCAACUAACCGGAAGACUUCCGGCUACUUUAUCCAACAUCUCAACGCUCUUUCGAUUCGCAGCUAAAAGCAACAACUUAACUGGAAAUAUUCCAAGUAUUUCCAAAUUUGUCAGUUUUUUGGAUCUCAGCUACAACAACCUUAGUGGGGAGAUCCCAUCUGAUCUUCUCGCAUCUCCUAAUUUGGAGUAUGUUGAUCUCUCUGCUAAUCAGCUCGGAGGGGCUAUUCCCACAAAUUUAUCUAUAGGGCUUCAAUUUCUGCAACUCAGUGGAAACCUUCUAUCUGGGAUAAUCCCGGCAUCAAUCGGAAUGCUCUGGCAGCUGGCAUAUCUAGAAUUGGAUAAUAACAAUUUGUAUUCUGAGAUACCAUCGCAACUGGGGAACUGCCGCAAUUUGGCAUACUUGGAUCUCUCUUCGAAUGCGCUGCACGGCGAGCUACCAAAGGAGAUUGGUAAUCUUCAAAAUUAUUUAGAGGUGCUGGCGCUUCAAAUGAACAAUCUUAGCGGGCAGAUACCUAUUGAAAUGCUUGAGCUACAGAGCUUGCAAGUAUUGAAUCUCGGCGGUAAUUCAUUCACGGGUGAGAUAUUACCAAUAAUUUCUAACUUCCAUCAGCUUUCAAACCUAGGCCUUCAGCGCAAUAAGUUCAUCGGGACGAUUCCCAAUUCAAUCAAUGGUUUGCAAAAUCUGAUAGAACUCAACCUGGGUAGCAACCUUUUUGACGGGCCGAUAUCUCCAAACAUUGGAGAUUUACACUUUCUAGAAAUUCUCGAUCUCUCGUAUAAUCAUUUCUCAGGUCAAGUGCCUGAUUCUCUUUCCACCAUUCCAAAUUUGACGAAGCUGGCACUUUCUUACAAUAAUCUCUCAGGGGAUCUUGAUCUCUCAAGAUUUUUGCCAUCAGUGAAUGUCGUAACCAUUGGAAAUAAGAAUCUUAUAAUUUUGAACGGAAGUGCUGAAUCCAAUUCGCCCGGAAAUGACGUUUUUGUUACUACCGAUUCGUCGAAAAGAAAGAUCAAGUUUGCCUUAGUCGUGGUUUCUUCUUUUGUGGCCGGUUUUUCGGUUUCAUUCCUCAUGUCUUCACUGACUUGGAAAUUCUUGAUUCGUAAAAAAGCAGCCGACGCACAAGAAGAAGACCGCCUUUCUGAUUUGAACAACAGGAAGAGGCUGCAGAUGGUACAGAGGCUGAGGAUGUUUCACGAACGGUACUACUUGGGACAGCUCACCACUGCAUUAGAAGCUCUUUAAUUAGGGAGUUUUUUUAAAUUUUGAAGCCCAAAAACUCUUUCUAGCUUAUCGCCGCAGUAGGACGUCUAGAUAUCUCUGUUUGCUAAAUGUGUCAAUACUGCUUCUUAGAAUAGAGAAGCAGUUCAAGGCCCAAGAGCCUCUUAAUAAUGUAUGCUAUCAUGGGACAAGCAAGGUUGAAAUUCAGAGACAGAAAACCUCUUGAUUUUUUAUGCGUGAUAAAUACAAGAAAAAAUUGAUAUGUCAUCGCAGAAUAAAAUCCAACUGAAAGUAAAAAAGAAAAAAAAAAAAAAAGGGGGAAAAACCAAAUAAUUAAUAACAUGUCUUUUCAAGAAAGAGGAAUGUGUGGCGGCUUCUUUAUAAACAUAUUUAUUAGACUAGACUAAGCAUAAAAAAAAAUUUCAACUCAGCUCAUAACAAGAUGUCGAAAACCCUGACAGUAAAGAUUGUAUAGAUAAUAUAUGUUUACUGUACCAAAACAGGUAGGUACUGCAUAUUAAUUCAUAACCAUAACCUUAAUAACUCAACAUCUCUCAGCACUUCGUAUGUAGAGAUUGCCUCAUAAACUCGCCUCCAUUUUCGCGAAAGCUGUUCAAGAACAUUAUAACUACGAAUAACAUUGUGAUGUGGAAAAUCCAACUGUAUCCAUAUCAAAAUCUUUGUUAGUUAAUUCGCGAAUUAUUCGCGAAUUUUUGAAGAAACGAAUUUAUCGGCCGUAUUCGUAUUUUUUUGAAAAAUUCAGAAAAAAAUACGUUUUUUUGGUCGAAAAUACUUAUUUGUGAAUAAUUCACGCGCCGAAUUAUUCGCCAAAAAUACGGUUCGCGCUCGCGCCUGCGCCCGCGCCCGUGCUCGAGGGUCGCGGGUCGCUGGUCUCGCGGCUCGCCCUAUAACACCCUGUACUUUUAAACUUCUUUAUUUGACUCCUAUUCUUAUUAAGUUUGGACCUUUUCGUAAAUUCCUAUCUUCGAGGGAUUCGGCGGCAUUUUGUUACUUAAUUAGUAUCUAACUUAAUUAAUUUUCUCCCUAACCCUCACCCGAUCAAUCCCUCUUUUUCCCCUCCCCUACGACUCGCUCUCUCUCUUCCUUACCGCAUCCGUACGACCUCUGUCGUUCCGCAAGUGCGCACGCGACACCAUCUGAUCGUCGCCAUCAUCCGUAGCCGCCUCCGCCGCAAUCCUCUUUGGCCGUUAUUUUUGGUUCACUAUCGAUGGCAUCCUGCCGUCAUUUUCACCAUUUUCGAGAAGGUUUUUCUUUUUCCCUUAUUUUAUCUCUAUAUCGAACCUUGUGAUCAUCCAACCUUCUUGUUUAUCGUUAUAUUAUUAUUUUGAAUACUCGCCUAAUGAUGAUCGAAAUUUAAAACUACCAAAAUCUGAUUUGCUUUGAUCUAAAUAUGUGUUAUUCGAUCUAUCAUUUUAUCUUGUAUUUCUAUCUGAUUUAGUUAUAUAAACCCUCCAUAUUCUGCAUGCUUCUUGUAACGCUCCUUACAUGUUCGAUAAAAUGCCUAAGAGAGGGCGAACUUUGUUUUUGUUUCUAAUUCCGAUCCUAUCUGAUUGUAAAUUGCCUAUUGAUAUUUCAACAUCUGAAAACCCUCUUUUCGAGCAUUAGAUCUUUCGUUUAUUAUUUAAAACUUCAUUCAUGUUAUCUUGUUUUUUGAAUAUUUUAAUCUUUGAAACUCAUCAUCCUCUUUGAUUGUUAAUUGAGUUUCGUCGAAUUUAAUAUUCUAAAUCCCUUUGUGCUCCAUCCCGACCUAUUUGCAUACCUUUAUAUCCCCUUUGCAUGUUCAUUUUGGUUAGCUUAUAGAGAAUCACGUAUCUCUAUUUUGGAUUCCGACGAUUGAAUUUUCGGCGCAUUCUCAACUGGAUAAUUUUUCUAUCUUUGAGGUAUUCGUUAAAGUAAGCGACCGAACACCCGUUAGUUUUUGUAAGAUAAUAUAGAAAAAUAUUUUGAUUAUAUGAAAAUCUUAUUUUGUAGAAUUUAAAAUUAAGGGUUAAGCAUAUUAUUAAAUAUUUCUGUAAAUUAAGUUUCAACCGUGAUUGACAAGUCCUUUUAGCAAAAUAAACUUUUGAAAUUUGAUAAUCUGCUCUGUAAAUUAAUGACUGGAUACACUUUGAAUUAUGAUGUCUCUUGGUAUUCUGCUAUGCUUAUGUUGGCCAUGUCGACAUGUACUUUGUUAUAGAAGCAAGCUUCGUCUUUGUAUUGCGCCUUCGGGUGCCUGCGCCUAUCCGCGCNUAGGGAUAAUAUUAUUAUUUUUUAUUUAUAACUAACAACUAUUCCUCUUAUUUUCAAUAACCAUCCAAACGCAAUUUUUUCUAGUUCCAACUUAUACUCAUAUUUUCAUCCAAAUAAAAAAAAAUAUCUUUAUCCUUACAAAAAUUCAUAUUUGUACACAUCCCCAGUAUAACUAGUUCCUACUAAUUCCCGAACCAAACAGUUUAGUGUUUGAGUAUAAGAAGGAGAAUAAGAGUUUAUUCCCCUCUUUAUAUCCCAUCCAAAUACCACCUAACAGAUCUUCCACUCCCAAUUUGACUCGAAAAUCAUGCCGACGAGGAUGUGUUUCCUCUCGAGGGCAUUCCACUUAGAAGUCACGAUUCGUCGCACAUUCCAUAAGCUCUUGUAUGGUAGAAAAUUCCCUCCGGCGAAAAGGGAAAGUGCUUCUGAGGCAAUCAGCUUGUCGAAGAAGCUCUACAUAUCCUUUUCACAUCAAGCAAGGCUCGAUGGUUACUUUUGCCUCCUAUUUGAAGCAGUAGACUCUUUCCCCUUUCCCAGGCAUGACAUUAGAGCUCCGUUGUACUACAUAAGCAGUUGCUGAAAUAUCAUUUCCUACCAGCUUAGUCAAAAAGCUGCUUCUAGAGGAAGCUGCAUAUCAGUCUAUUAGUGUAAUGACCUGCGCUUCGUGGCGGGAGGUCGUAAAGUUGAGAGCUAAUAAUAUGACUUUUAUUAUAUUUAUUUAUUACGAAACAUACAUAUAUAUAUAUAACAUUUACAUUAUGUAAGAUAACUAAAUAUAUAAUAUAGAUUAUCUAAUACGAUGUGAUGUCUUUAAUAAUACAAAUAUAAUUGAUAAAACAGUUCUUAGAUCAUUAUGGCCUAUCGGUUCCAUUUAAUUUCUUGCAGGUGUUAACUUUGCUUGGUCCUUUUCCAGUCUUCGAACUGCAUACGUAUGAACAAUAUCUCNUUGGAAAUAAGAAUCUUAUAAUUUUGAACGGAAGUGCUGAAUCCAAUUCGCCCGGAAAUGACGUUUUUGUUACUACCGAUUCGUCGAAAAGAAAGAUCCAGGUUGCCUUAGUCAUGGUUUCUUCUUUUGUGGCCGGUUUUUCGGUUUCGUUCCUCAUGUCUUCACUGACUUGGAAAUUCUUGAUUCGUAAAAAAGCAACCGAUGUGCAAGAUGAAGACAACCUUUCUGAUUUGAACAACAGGAAUAGGCUGCAGAUGGUACAGAGGCUGAGGAUGUUUCACGAACGGUAUUACUUGGGACAGCUCACCACUGCAUUAGAAGCUCUUUAAUUAGGGAGUUUUUUUAAAUUUUGGAGCCCAAAAACUCAUUUGAGCUUAUUGCCACAGUAGGACCUCUAAAUAUCUCUGUUUGCUAAAUGUAUAAAUGCUGCUUCUUAGAGUAGAGAAGCAGUUCAAGGCCCAAGAGCCUCUUAAUAAUGUUUGCUAUCAUGGGACAAGCAAGGUUGAAAUUCAGAGACAGAAAACCUCUUGAUUUUUUAUGCGUGAUAAAUACAAAAAAAAAUUGAUAUGUCAUCGCAGAAUAAAAUCCAACUGAAAGUAAAAAAAAAAAAAAAAAAAAAANAAUUAAUUUGUGUAUCCAUUUAUUGUAUGCUUAAUCCGACUAAUGUGGUGUAUGGUUGCUUACCCAGGUACCGAGACCGAUUUGCCGGGCGGGGCUGAGACUGAGUGAACGUUAGACGUAGCAAGUUUUGAUUUUAGUCUCUUUUGUUUUUACAUCUAGUAUUUUUGAAUUAUCUAUGAUCGUUUGUUAUCUAUUUUGUUUCGUUAUAUCUUCAUACCCACUUUUGUCACUUAUGGUAUUUUCGAACCUCUCUUGUGAUUCGUAGUAAGCUUUAGUUCUAUAGAAGUUAGAAUUUCAUUUGAUUUUAGUUAAAAUUUAAUUUCUUAGUCUCAUCCUAUGAUUCUUUGGAUUUAGUGGAAAAUUUGGUAAUCAUCUUUUGCUAGCUUUUGUCUGAUUCUAUAGCCUUGCAUAUUUGCUAGUUUAGUAGGUAUGCGGCGUCUGUUAAGCCUCGGGUUUGGGGCGUGACACGCCCAAAUCAGGAAAAAUUUAAAAAAACCCCUUUCCAAACAAAAAAAAAAACCGUUCAAAAAAAANAAUAACAUGUCUUUUCAAGAAAGAGGAAUGCGUGGCGGCUUCUUUAUAAACAUAUUUAUUAAACUAGACUAAGCAUAAAAAAAAUUUCAACUCAGCUCAUAACAAGAUGUCGAAAACCCUGACAGUAAAGAUUGUAUAGAUAAUCUAUGUCUACCGUACCAAAACAAGUAGGUACUGCAUAUUAAUUCAUAACCAUAACCUUAAUAACUCAACAUCUCUCAGCACUUCAUAUAUAGAGAUUGCCAAAAUACAUACUACCAUCCUAAUAGGCAGCAAGACUGUCAUCCAAUGCGAGAAUGCAAUAGUAGGAAGCUUCUGUAUGACUCGUUUACCUCAUAAACUGGCCUCCAUUUUCUCAAAAGCUGCUCAAGAACAUUAUAACUACGAAUAAAGUUGUGAUGUGGAAUUUGGGAGGAUAGCUGUAACAAAAAAGGAGUUCAGAGGAGAAAAGAGCUAACGACUAUUGCUGCCAUGUGGUGGGGAGUUCUUUGGCUUGAGCGGAACAGUAGAGUCUUUGAGAAUAAAAAAAGCCCGCCUAGUCUUCUAUUAGUCAAGAUCCGUUCGCUUAGAGACCUUUGGUUACGGUUUUGUCUUCUAAAUAGAGCCUGAUCUUCACCUUCUUUUUUUUUGUUUGUUUCGCCACCAGGCCCGGCUGCCUCAUACUGAGCCAAGUUCAUUUUCUUAAUGAAUAAAGCAGUGGCAUGCUACCUUCUCUCUCUCAAAAAAAAAAAAAAAAAAAACAACAUUGUGAUGUGAAAAAUCCAGCUGUAUCCAUAUCAAAAUAUGUCGAACAAAAGGAAAAGGAGAAAAUGAGCAACAAGAAGGAACUUACUGCUGUAGUUGAAUAGCUAGCUUCUCGAUUCGGUCAAACAUGUGUCAUGAGCAUUUGCCAGCAACAAGCAUCUAAGCUCAUCCCUUAAACACGGGAAAAAAAGAGACAAAUCAUGGGUGUAGAUAAGAAGAUCUUACCCAAACUAGAUAGCAUUUUGAAAUUUGUAUCUAAACUUCAAAAAUUCUGAUUUUACUGCCUAACCUUACUUUUCUUUUCAGUGUGUUUGGCACCAAAUCUAAAUGUGAUUCAGUAGAUUUCAAAAGACAAGAAUUCAGUUGAAUUCAUUUAGAAAUGAAAUCUUUUGCUUGCAAUAAAUUAUAACUCAAUUUGAAUUUCAUUCCGUAUUGUCGUGUACUUGUUAUAACCCUGCUCUCCCCGUCUUCGAUUUUCAUGUUGCAGCCCAAAUUAGCGGAUAAAAAUUUGGUGGACAUAGUUUCCAAAAAUAAUAGUUUGGGGAUCAUCUGGAUCGACGCCAUGUGACUAGCUGUACUCAUCUCAACUGUUCAAAAAAAAUAUUAUUUUUACUGGAUUAAAAUAUUUAAAAAUUUUAUUUUUAUUUGGCGAUUGAGAUGGGCUCUGCUUGCCACAUGGCGCCAAUCUGAACAAUCUCCAAAAUAUUUUUUUAAGAAUAAGAUAGCGUGCUACCCGCUUUAUUUAUUGAACUGAUGAAUUAGGCUACACGAGUGUCACAGCUGAGCCUCGAACCGGAUGGAAAAAUAAUAAUAAUAAUAAUAAUGUUUGGGGACGGACACUAGCGUGCGAUUGUGUGGGCCCCAAUGAUGGGCGUACGGAGACGACGGGGCGCAGGGGCACCGUUGAUUUCUACGUCUCGAUCGCAUGGAGCGGAGGAUGCGCGCAAGAGCCGAGUUCCGUUAUCCGAUCCUGACCGUCCGAUUAGCAGAUCGAACCUCACGGGGUUGGAAACCGAUCGCGAGGUAUCCUGCGAAAUUGGACGGGGUUGGAACCUUCUCUCUGGGGUAAUCCCGACAUCAAUCGGAAAGCUCUCGCAGUUGGCACAUCUAGAAUUGGAUCAUAACAACUUGUGUUCCGAGAUACCGCCACAGCUAGGGAACUGCAAAAUGAAAAUAGGGUUAUGAAAAAUGAAUUUGAUUAUGAAAAUUUGUAAGAUCCAUCCAUAUUGAUUUGAUGAGGGAUCUUAUGAUGACUAGACUAAUUAGAAUAGGACCACAUUGCAUUUUCAAAAUUAAAUUUUUAUAAAUAGUUAUGAAAAAAUUUAUAAGAAAAUUAUUUAUUCUAAUUUUUUUAAAAAAUUUUUGUAAGAUCUAUCCAUAAAAAUUUAAUAUUUAAUAAUAAACAAUAUGUGACGCCCCGACUUCCCAGAGGGUCACCCAUCCUAGGACUACUCCCGUCCUAGCACGCUUAACUCUCUUAAGCUCUUGGGCCUUGCCACCACCCAAAAUGCUUAAGCCGGGUUAAGAGUUUAGCCUAUUAUAUCUUAUAUAUAGGACUAUCUGGGGUCUCACAAUCUCCCCUCCUUUAAGUCCUGACGUCCUCGUCAGGCUUAGACUCACAAGUACCAGACGAUGUGAGACUCGUCCGUCAUCCAGGACACUGACUCAGCCGAGACUAUCUAACACUUCCGGCGGUAAUUGGCUCUGAUACCCGACUUCCCAGGGGGUCACCCAUCCUAGGACUACUCCCGUCCUAGCACGCUUAACUCUCUUAACCUCUUAGGUCUUGCCACCACCCAAAAUGCUUAAGCCGGGUUAAGAGUUUAGCCUAUUAUAUCUUAUAUAUAGGACUAUCUGGGAUUUCACACAAUAUGAUGAAUAAUUAAAGCAAGUUUAUGUUAAAAAUUGAUUAACUUUUAAAUUUUUUUAUUUAUCUUUACUUUUUUGGACUUUAAAAAAUUGUAAAAUACAAAUUAGGGAAUAUUACUUGUUUCCUUAAAAUUCUUAUGCAAAUUUGCAAAACUCUUCUAAGAAAAUUAUUUUUUCUUAAAAUCUUUUAGAAAAAUUGUGAGAUCUAACUAUGAAAAUUUAACAAAAAAUCAUAUGACAAAUACAUAAAAAAAUUUAAAUAUCAAUAAUGUCAAUUUAGUUUUUUGACUUUAUUAGAAUUUUUAUGUUUCUAAAUUCAAUAAUAGAAUUUUCAAAGUUAAAAAUGUCUAAAUCUCAUAUAAAAUGCUAAAUCCAUCCAAGAAAAUUAAAAAUUGGACCAUAUAAUGACUAAACAAAGUGGAUUUAUUUUCGGAUUUUUGUGAAUUGUAAAUAAAACUUUGUAAUUUUCUAUGUAUCACUGACAUUUCUAUAAGCCUCGCAUGUUCGUGUCGUACACGCGCGUCCGUGUCAUACACGUGUCUGAUGUGGACACUUUUUGAACGCACGUUUAAUGUUGAUUCAUAGCGCAUACAACUAAAAUAAAUAUAUACAUAUUUUUUUUUUACUUUUUCUAUGCAUAUAUAAUGUAAGAUGAUAAAUAUUUUAGCUUUUUGAUCAAUACAUAUAAUUUUUUUUGACAAUACAAAUAAAUUAUCUAUGGUGGAGAAUUUUUUUCUUAAAAUAUAUGAAUUAUCAAUAAAAAUUUUACUCACUUUUAUUCGUAUGAAAAAUAUAGCAAUAUUUUACUAAAAUCAAUAUUUUAUAUAUAAUAAAAAUAUAUUAUUAUAUUGAUAAUAUUAUAUUUUAUUAGUGGUGAUCAUGUCGUGUCCGUAUUCUAAUUAAUAUUUUUAAAAGCUAUCGAGUCGCGGAGUCCGAGUCAUGUCGUGUUCCGUAUUUUGUGUCAGUGCACUUUUCCUUUUCCGAGGCACGACGUUAACUCGAGUACACAGCUUGAUCGUGCUACAUAACCGGUUGCUGAAGUACCAUUUCCUACUAGCUUAGUCGAAAGCUGCUUUUAGAGAAAACCACAUAUCAAUCUAUUAUGCUGAUGGGGCUUUUGGCGGUGCAGUUGUAUAGUCCUUUUCCUUCUUCCCACACUUUUCCUGCUAGGUUAUUAUUGUAGUCACACCAUGUAUUUACAUCAAUUCUUUUUAAUUUAUGUAUCAUAUAGAACGGGAAUUUGCAUUGUUUUUGAGAAACUUGUAUACAUUUCUUAUCUAGCGGAACGAAGAUCGAUCAAAUUCACAAUUUCGCUCUAUCUUUUGCUCCAUUGAAAAAUUGUCGAGAAUCUGAAUGGUGAUCAUGCAAGGUAUCAAUUCUCUUCUAGUUUUUACUGCUUUUUUAAUUCAUUGGUCACAGAACAUAUGGCGAAAUUCUCUAUAAAUUAUUGAAUUUUAAAUUUUUAAAAUUUAACAUGGUAAAGUUUCAGUAAACACUGUAACUUCUAUUUAAUAAAAGAAAGAUGUGGUUGUUAAUUCAGCUGACGCGUCGUCUCUUACAGAUAAUAAGAUUGUUGCAAAAUUGAUGUAACAAUUAAAUUAACUCACAUGUUAUCGACACAGGUACAAAUAUGUGUACUUUUUAAUUAUGUAUUUGUACCCGUUUGGGUAUCUUUGUAUGCAUAAUAUCUGUAUCCAAAUCUAAAUCCAUCUCCAACUAGUUGAAUAAUAUCCCAUUCAUUUUCACCCCUAGAUUGGAACCCGAAAAUCCAAACCAACCUGUUUAAUCGGAAGUAUAAAAAAAGAUAAAAUUAUAAAAAAAAAAAAUACUUCUUUUCUGGUAUUUUGAAGUUUUAUUUCAAUCACUUCAGCAUGUAUGCAGCUUAUGGACAUUUCGACUUUUCUAAAACAAAGUUAAUUAAAAAAAAAUGUCACAAGGAGAGAGAAAAAUAUAAAAUAGGAAUCAAGGAGAUUAAGACAUACAGAAAGUGUGAAAAGAACCAAAAAUUCAGAGUCAAUUUCUGACCACAAGUCAUAAGUCACCAAAAGAAGGGCUUUUUUUGCAUUUAGUCCCCUAGCAAAUUUUUAUUUUAAAAUUAGCCCGGUCAAAAUUUAAUUUGCAAAAAUGAUCCUGGACCUGCUAUGCAAGCGCCACGUCAGCGCCACGCGGGCAGGACCGGGGCGCGUGUGUUAAGUUGAACACGGUGAACCAUUCACUGUGUUCAAACACGGUGAAUGGUUCGCCGUGUUGAGUACGCAUUGUUAUUGAAAAGAGAAAUAGGGAGUAGGGAUGUCAAUAGGUAUGGAUAUACGAAAUAUUAUCCGAAUCCAAACCCGAAUAAAUUAUGUAUAUAUACAUAAUUUAUUUUUAUUUAUUUAUACAAUAUAUAAAAUAUUUAAUAAUUUUUAUUUCUUAGAUUUUCAUCUAACGGUAUAGAUUUUUAAAACCCGCUGGGUUCAGAUUCGGAUUUCGAGUUUUUGGUCGGAUAUGGAUAUGGGUAUGAAUUUUUAAAAUCCGUCGGGUUCGGAUCCGGGUUUGGAUUUUAAUUUGAUUUUCGGGUUCGAGUUCGGAUUUUUGAAAAAGAGAAGAAAAGGAAUACAAAUUUUCUAUUCCUCUUUUCAAUAUACAAAAAAUACAUACCAAACACAGUGAACCAUUCACCGUGUUUAGACACGGUGAAUGGUUCACCGUAUUUAACUUAACUACCGCUCCCAGUCCCGCCCGCGUGGCGCUGACGUGGCACCUGCGCGAUAGGUUUAGGGUCAUUUUUGCAAAUUAAAUUUUGACAGGACUAUUUUAAAAAAAAAAAUUUGUCAGGGGGCUAAAUGCAAAAAUAGCGCCCAAAAAAAAAGAAAAUUUCUUGCACAUUUCUCAUGAGUGCCCCUAAAUGUCCCUCUUAGAGUCCCCAAUUUAUAUUUCAUGUUGUGAAAUAACUAAUUAGUCUAAAAGCAUAAACUGCUAGAAAACAAUAUCAUUUUUUUAAGACCAAUACUUUUUGAUAGGCACUUUACACAGUAUUCCUUUUUUAAGACUCGAGAUUUCAAGAGAAAAUAUAAAGAGACUCAAAAAGUAUUCAAACUCUGAAUUUUCUAUUCUAAUAGUAUGUGAAACAAUCAAUUACUCUCAAAGCUUAAAUUGACAGAAAAUGGCAUCCCUAAUAUCUACAUUCAUCGUGGAUGUCUACACAAGUUUAGUCUUUAUUAUCUAUGACAACUGGGGUACCUUAUGUAGUAUCAUUUUAUAUAUAUAUAUAUAUCUAUGACAACUGGGGUACCUUAUGUAGUGUCCUUAUAUAUAAUAAAUANUGAAUUUUAAAUUUUAAAUUUUAAAUUUAAUUUUAAAUUUAUGCUUUGAAUCUAAAAUAAAAAUAAAAAUUUGAAGUUUAAGUCCAAAACCAGUUUUGGAGAAGCAUCUUUUUUCUGCUUCUUAUUCUGGAGUGUUCGAAAUCAGUUUUCUAAUUCUGAAAAAUUAAAUUAAAUUUUUCAUAUGUCGUUCCCAAACAUUCUAUUGAACUCAAAAGUGAUUUUAGGCUAAGAAUCACUCCUUAGAAGCUAGGCUAAAUACCCCUUUUGGCUGUGCAGUUGUAUAGUCCUUUUCCUUCUUCCCACACUUUUCCCUUAUUGUAGUUACCCCAUGUAUUUGCAUCAAUUCUUUUUCAUGUACGUUUCACAUAGAACAGGAAUUUGCAUUGUAUUUGAAACUCGUAUACAUCUCUUAUUUAGCGGAACAAAGAUCGAAUAAAUUUAUAAUUUCGCUCUAUUUUUGGCUCCAUUGAAAAAUUGUCGAGGAUCUGAAAGGUGAUCAAUUCUCUUCUAGUAUUUACUACUUUUUAAUCCAUUGGUCACAGAACAUAUGGCGAAAUUCUCCGUAAAUUAUGUUUCUGUACCCAUUUACGUUUCUUUGUAUGUGUAAUAUCCGUAUCCAAAUCUGAAUCCGUCCCCGACUAGUUGAAUAAUAUCGCAUUCAUUUUCACCCCUAGAUUGGAACCUGAAAAGCCAAACCGACCUAUUUAAUUGGAAGUAAGUACAAAAGAAGAUAAAAUUAUAAAAAAAAUACCUGUUUUCUGAUAUUUUUAGGUUUUAUUUCAAUCACUUCUGCAUGUGUGCAACUUACCGACAUUUUGACUCUUCUAAAACAAAGUUAAUUAAAAAAAAUGUCACAAGCAGAGAGAAAAAUAAAAAAUAGGAAUUAAGGAGAUUAAGACAUAUAGAGAGUGCGAAAACAUCCAAAAAUUCAAAGUCAAUUUCAAGCUACAAGUCAUAGGUCACCAAGGGAAACAAGAGAAUUUUCUUGCACAAUUCUCGUGAGCAUUGCUAUGGACACCCCAAAGUGUCCCUCUUAGAGUCCCCAAUUUAUAUUUCAAGUUGUGAAAUAACUAAUUAGUCUAAAUGUGAGAAAACAAUAUCAUUUUUUAAGAUCAAUACUUUUCCAUAGGCCCAAGAUAAGCACUUUAAACGGUCUCCCUUUCUGAAGGCUUGAGAUUUCAAAAAAAAUAUAUUGAGAAUUAAACUCAAAGAUAUUCGAACUCUGAAUCUUCCACUCUAAUAUCAUGUGCAACAAUUAAUUACUCUCAAAGCUUAAAUUGACGGAAAAUGGUGUCUCUAAUAUCUACAUUCAACACGGAUGUCUACACAAGUUUAGUCUCAUAUACAUUUCUUAUUUAGCAGAACGAAGAUUGAUUAAAUUCACAAUUUUGCUCUAUCUUUUGCUCCAUUGAAAAAUUGUCGAGAAUCUAAAAGGUGAUCAUACAAGAUGUAUCAAUUCUCUUCUAGUUUUUACUGCUUUUUUAAUCCAUUGGUCACAUAACAUAUGGCGAAAUUCACCGUAAAUUAUUGAAUUUCAAAAUUUGAAAACUUGACAUGGUGAAGUUUGAUUUCCAUUCCAGUAAACAAUGUAACUUCUAUUUAAUAGAAAAAAGAUAUGGUUGUUAACUCAGCUGACGCGUCAUCUCUUACGGACAAUAUGGUUGUUGCUAAAUUGAUGUAACGAUUAAAUUAGCUCACAUGUUAUUGACACAGGAACAAAUGUGUGUACUUCUUAAUUAUGUAUUUGUACCCAUUUGUAUGCGUAACAUCUAUAUCCAAAUCUGAAUCCGUCCCCGACUAGUUGAAUAAUAUCGCAUUCAUUUUCGCCCCUAGAUUGGAGCCCGAAAAGUCAAACUAACCUAUUUAAUUGGAAGUAUAUCUAUACCUAUACCUAUACCUAUACAUUAUUUCUCAUGGAGUUUGCUACGUGGCAAUUCCUCCUUUACUUUCCUUCCUACUCCCUGAUGCUUCGUCUUCCCACCCUCAUCUCUACCCAAUUCUUCCUCUUCCCACCCACCUAUUUUCUAAUUAAUGUAUUCACAUGAUCCAUUUUCAUCUAAAUAAAUCGCUUCUAAAAAAAAGUAAAAUAAGAUCUUUUAUACUCCUUUUUAUCACAUUUUUUCUUUUUUCUUUUUUUUUUUUGCACAAGAAGGGUUCAUUUUUUGUAUUUUUCUUAAUCUUUUUUUCUAUUUUUUUAAAGUGUGUGGAGAUUGAAAUUAGGGUUCCAAGGAUCACGGCGAGGUGAAGUGCGAUGGAUUUAGAGUUGAUGAAAGGGAAGAAGCCGUGACUGUGGGGGAAUCCGUACGGCAUCGACGUGGCUGUAACCAAGAAGAAGCUCGACGCCGACAAUGACGGUGGAGGCAAUGUGGAGAAUGGGAAUCGUCUCCCCGAUCUCAGCAGCGCGACCAAGGUGCGUAUGUAGUAGUAAUUCUAUUACCGCUUCUUUCAUUAUUGUUAUAUAUAAUUUAUUUGUUGUUAUAAGUUUUGUUAUAUUUGUACAUAUCUGUUUUAUAUUUUCUAUCCGUAUUUAUUGAUAUCUCAUGAUAAGUUAAAUUUUUUAAAAUUUUAACUCUUUUAAUCUUUUAUUUUUUAUAGAAUUAGUCUGCCGCAAUGCGCAGGUAAUUUUAUAAAAAAAAAAAUAUGUAGUAAAAAAGAUUACUCGUUUUCUGAUAUUUUGAAGUUUUAUUUCAAUCACUCUGCGUGUGUGCAGCUUAUUGAGACUUCAACUUUUCCAAAACAAAGUUAAUUACAAAAAAAUGUCACAAGGAGAGAGAAAAAUAUAAAAUAGGAAUCAAGGAGAUUAAAAAGUCACAAGACAUAGAAAGUAUGAAAGAUUCAAAAUUUCAGAGUCAAUUUAUGACAAGUCAUAGGUCACCAAGAGAAACAAGAGAAUUUUCUUGCACAUCUCUCAUGGGCAUUGCUAUGGGCACACCCCUAAGUGUCCCUCUUAGAGUCCCCAAUUUAUAUUUCAAGUUGUGAAAUAACUAAUUGGUCUAAAACAGUAUCAUUUUUUAAGAUCAAUACUUUUCGAUAGGGCCAAGAUAAGCACUUUAAACAGUACCCCUUUUUUAAGGCUCGAGAUUUCAAGAGAAAAUAUAUUGAGAAUUAAACUAAAAAAUAUUCAAACUCUGAAUCUUCUACUAUGAUAUUAUGUGCAACAAUCAAUUACUUUCAAAACUUAAUUAAAUUGACAGAGAAUGGCGUCUCUAAUAUCUACCUUCAACACGGAUGUCUACAUAAGUUUAGUCUUUAUUAUCUAUGACAAUUGGGGUACCUUAGAAAAGUACACAAGUUAAUUUCCAUAUUUUUCAUCUCUCUCAAAGGCUAAUAAUCCACAGUGCAUUAGGUUAGUCAACUUGACCAACACAGACUAUGAAACUCCUCUUGCCUAUGACAAAGUCUUUGCUUCUCCCAUUCUCUCUAAUCCAUUUCAAUUUAUAAAUACCUCCUCCAAAUUUUUAUUUUUAUUUUGUUUUAUAAAAAGAGAGAGAGAGAGAAAGAGGUUAUAGAAAUAUACAUAGGAACUAAGAAGAAGAAAAGGUGGAUACUCCAUAAAAGUUAUAAUAGAAGGAAUGGAGAGGUAUGCAAAUCUCUUUAUCUCCUUCUCCUUGCUGUUCUUGUUCUUAAAUUACUCCUUGUUUGUUUGUAAGUCUAUGGCCUCAUCACUCCAACUCAACCAUGACCAAAUAAACAUCAUGGCAAAUCUCUCCAAGAGCCUCUUCCCAAAUUCAUACCAUAACUGGAACACCAGUGACCCAAAUCCUUGCCUUUGGGACAGGGUCACUUGCUCCGCCGGCACCUCGACCGUCGUGACCGGCCUCUCCCUCUCCAAUCUCAGUAUCCCCACUGCCGCCAAUGUCGGCGACUUCUUUAGCAUUCUUUGUCGCCUCGACACCUUACAAAACCUCGACUUCUCGCAAAACUACAUAGCCAUGAUACCUGAUUCGUUUUUCUCCAAUUGCACCGGCCUGUCCGGGUUGAAGUCCCUCGAUCUCAGCUCCAAUGAAUUGACCGGCCCAGUUCGUAAUUUCUCGAGCUUUGCCAGUUUGGAGACUCUGGACUUGUCCUAUAACUCCUUACAAGGAACUGUUGAAACCCAGUUGAGUUCCUUAUCCAAAUUGAAAAGCUUGAAUCUUGGCUCUAAUUUCUUGAUUGGAACCAUCCCCACUUUCAUCGUCGACGGUAGAAGAGUUGCGGUCUUUGAAGAGCUUGUGCUUUCGCAUAAUCAAUUCACUGGCACGAUACCCAGUGAGAUUUUUGAGUAUGAGAAUCUUACUAUGCUGGAUCUCAGAGGAAAUAGCCUAUCUGGGACUAUACCAGAAGAGAUUGAAAAGCUCUCCAAUUUGAAAACUCUCACCCUUUGUACGAAUCAACUGACCGGAAAAGUUCCGGCUACUUUAUCCAAUAUCACAACGCUCUUUCACUUCGCAGCUGACGGAAACAACUUAACUGGAAAUAUUCCAAG